UGGUGGAUUACCGGGACAUUUCUCCUUGGGCAGAGUGACUGCACAAAUCUGCUCUAGCUUCUUUGUUCGCUCUGCCAAUGGAGAUUUGCCCAGCAACCCACAU
rnacentral:pre_miRNA from 1 species